AAAGUAUUAGUUGAAUUGCUUUGAAUUAUUGAAGCCUCUACUUAUGUUGAAUUUAAUGUCACGCGAACAACCAGAGUUCGAUAUAACUAGCUACUUGAAGUGCAAAUCAGUGUUUGUCAUGACUAGUUAUGGGAGAUAGUUGUGAAAGCGUAACUACUAUUUUUGGUUGGUUGAACAUUUUUAUGCGACAAAAGUGCAUUUGAAGUCAGUGUUGCCUACUUGGAGUGCUUCAAAGACUUUGACUCAUGUGAAGGAUACACAUGGUGUGCUACUGCUCUUGCUUACUUAUAUAUAUAUAUAUAUAUAUAUACUUCUAGAGGCGAAGCUUCCUUGGAACAGGGGGGCCGCGGCCACCCCAAACAAAAAAAAAAUAGUUUUUUAUAGGUAAAAUGACUAAAAUGCCCUUAUUCAAAUUACAAUAUUACAAUAAUACCUAAACCCUAAAUCACAUCUUCUCUCUUCCUCACCCUCUUGCGUGCUACUCUCUCUCUCUCUCUCUCUUACUAGAAGGCUUCUUGAACCAGAGCUAAUUCGAUCUUCCCCUUUGGACAAUGUGUUUGAAUAGCAAGCAAAAGUACCACUUGUGUGGUAAACCGAAGUAGAGAAAGAGGAAGCUCGACCUCACCUCCUUUGGUAAACCGAAGCAAAAGAAGGUCUACCUCACCCCUUUGUUAAACCCAAGCAGAGAAAGAGGAAGAAGCAAAGCUAGGCCAUUCGAUUAGGGAUGCUCUCACUUGUGUGUACUAUCUUCAAGAAGGAAUAUACAUAGAACCUUCUUCUUUUUCGCAUCUCCCAAGUUCAAAUGCUUUUAUGAUGUUAACUUCUGUUGCGCCGCUCUGUUGUCGUCUUGCCCGUCUUGCGCAGCUACUGCCUCGCCUCGCCUGUUCAUCGACAAAAUAAUUGGUUGAUUUUUUUUUUCUAUUAUCAAUAUAAAAGAAAAUAAUAUUUUGAAAGUUGUGUAUAUAGUAAUAAUUAAAAGAUAAUAUAUAGAAAAAAAUAAUUAAAGUUACAUUGAAAAUUAUAACUGACAAU
rnacentral:lncRNA from 1 species